AACAGCAGGUCUGGGACAGGUAGCACGUCCGGUGAACAGGUCAGGGUUCCAUAGAGGCUUCCAUUUUCUCUAAUGCCAAUUUGGUUAUGUGUGGUGUACCGCAGGGCAGUCGGCUUGGACCAUUAUUGUUUCUGUGUUUACUAAUGACCUUCCACUGACCUUGAAUCAAGCCUGUGUGUGUCCAUGUAUGCUGAUAACUCAACAGUAUACACGUCAGCUGCGACAGUAAAAUAAGUAGCUGACACCCUUAACAUAGAGCUACAGUCAAUUUUCGAAUGGGUAACUAGCAAUAGGCCUGUGCUAAAUAUCUCAAAACUAAAAGCAUAUUUCUUGGGACAAAAUCACUCGCUCAACCCUAACCCUCAUAUGGAUCUAUUAUUGAAUAAUGUGUCUAUUGCGAAACUUGAGACUAAACUGCUGGGUGUCCUCUUUGAUAUCAAGCUAUCAUGGUCAAAACAUAAUGACUUAAUGGGAUACUAAAGUGGGAAGCGGUCUUUCCAUCCUAAGGUGUUUCACGAUAUCCCCGUUCAACCAGACAGCCCCUAGUUUGGACUACUGUCCAGUUGGGUGGUCAGGUGCAGCAAAGAAGGACUUAGGCAAAUUGCAGUUGGUCCAUAACAGAGCAGCACGUAUUGCACUUAGUUGUAUACGGAGGACGAAUGUCAAUGAUAUGCACGUCAAUCUCUCCUGGCUCAAAGAGAUUGACUGCAUCACUAUUAGUCUUUGUGCGCGGUAUUGAUGUGUUGAUGAUACCGAACUGUCUGUUCAAGUAGUUGACACACAGUUCGGACACUCAUCGGUUACAACACAAGGAAAGUAGGAUGGAACACAAGACAUGCAACCAGAGGUCUCUUCACGGUCCCCAGGUCCAGAACAGAGGCUGGGAAACACACAGUUAUAAUAGAGCCAUGACUACAUGGAACUCUCUGCCACCCCAGGUAACUCAAGCUAGCAAUACAAACAGAUGAAAAAAUACCUUAUGGUAUGACGGGGAAUGUGAAGAGACACACACAGACAGUUGUAUGCAUUUUGUAUUAUAUUUUGUAUUGUAUUAUGUAGUGAUAUGUGAUACUUGGUUGUGAUACGACUGUGACAUGUGGUUGUCUCGCCUGGCUAUCUUUAGAUGAAUGCACUAGCUGUGGGUCGCUGGGAACGUCUGCUGAAUGACUAAAUUGUAAUGUAAAUCUAGUGCUAUGUAUAUUUAUCUUUAUUAUGUAUUUUAUUUGUUGUGUUUUGUUUCCUGUUUGGACCCCAGGAAGCGUAGCCUUGGCGACAGCUAAUUGGGGAACCUAAUACAUACUAAAUACUAAAUAUCAGUGUGUUAGGAGGGAGGUGUGCAAGAAGCAGGAUGCGUGCCUUCAUUUUAACCCUAGCUUAACCCACUACUUUCUGGAUCCCUGUACCAUCCC